UGCAUCUCUUUUUGUAGCCCAAGAUUUCACCCAAGAGUUUCAGGCGAUUUCGAGUUCGUCGACGACAAAGUUUCAAGCAGUUUGGGACUUCGCCGACGAAGAUCCGGUCGGAGGGGGCAUUGCUGCUACUCUGUGUAUCUCCGUCGCCGAUCUUAUUUUUUAUUCUUUCUCUUUGCAGAUCUGUUCAUGUGGGCAGCCGCAAGUUGUUUUCUAGGGUUUUGCCAUUGGGAAGAUCUGGGUCUCAGAGAUUUGAUGAAGGACAUCUAAAGGGUUAGUGAAAGAGUGGUCUCAUUACCCUACCCACAGUCAAAGGGUAUAGUAUGUAAGAAAGCAUCAAUUCGUUAAUGGGGCUCUUCUAAAAAACCGUUGAGAUGCGAAAGAUGUAAUACUCGUUGAACAUUCCCUAUGAAUUGAGGAGAUGUUGCUUUUCAACUCAAACUUCGAUGGUACCCAAAGCAAUCAUGUAUAUUGUGAUUUUGAGAGUUGGGUUUUGUUCUUCAAUGGGCAGUUGCCACUUGCUAGAGUUCAUGGCAAAGCCUAGCUUGAAGUUGAAUCCGCCCAAAUACCACCUGCCCAACAAGGACAUAGCAAUCGAACCAUUGCGAAUGAAGAAAAAUGGCAUCAUUAGGUGUUUGUGGGUAUUUGUUGCAGAUGUUUGGGUUUUGAGUAGGUCGAGAGCCCCAAGUUUGAAUUUAAUGUCAUCUGGUUUCACCUCCAUCAUUCUUUCUUCACCUCAUCGAGAGAAAUCUGGAGACGAAGCUUUCAAAAGGACCAUGGAUAGCUACAGCAGCCAUUGCAGACCCUGAAAAUCUCCCUUGAUCUAGUUCAUCACAUCUGCUUCUCUGUAUCCAAUUUUGAAUCAUUUGUUCACACGCUUGAGGAAGAAGGAUCUUGGUAGAUACAAAUAUGUUGAUGGACAUGUAUCUAACAAUUACCAGAAAUCCACCCUCUCUGCAUCGGUAGUAGUCAAUAAAUUUACACUUCCAUGUCCAAGAAUUUGAUCAAGAAAAUAAGAAUCGUCU